CUACUGUCCAUAUUGCGCCGAUAGUCCGCCGUCCAAAUUAACGUCCCAGAUCAAAUAUUCUGGCGAGCAUACGCGCCAUCGUCUGCCAAUUUUCGUACACCACGUCGCCGAUCCCCCACCGCAACUCCGUGAUUUCCGGAUCAAUUCCACCGGAAUCGUGGCUCCCCCACACUUUUUUCGUUAGGCCCCGAAAGAACGGAUCCCCGGCAACCUAUAGCGGCGGCGGAAGAAGGCGUGGGUACCGAAGGGGCGAUGACGAUGGUGUUCGUGGCCGAGGAAGGGAGGCGGCAGCGGUGAUGGUGGAGGCCGCGGCCGUGGCUACAAAGGGGUUGGUCAUGGUGGACACGUCCGAGGCUAUCAUCGGGGCGGCAACAACUAUGGCGGCCUUGGUGCGCGCAGUAACUACGGCGGCCGCGGCAGCAGAGGAGGAGGAGCCGCCCCCGACAUGCACCAAGCCGCGGGGUCCCCCCUCUCCGAGAGCUACCACAUAGAGGCGGCCCAGCUCCGGGAGAAGUUCCAGGCGAUGGACGCGGGUUGGUGCCGCUAUAGAUCCAACCGACCGACGAUGGAGCAGCUGUCGGCGUUCCUCCGCGCGGCACCAGGGUCCAUCACACCUCCAGCAUCCUCCCCCCUCCCCCCAAGCCUUGCCAGCCGUAGCCUCCCAGAUCCUCCUCUCAAUGCAUCUCCACUUCCCCUACGACGUCUCAGGCUUCACGAUCUCCACCACGAUGGGCGUCACAAGCCCAAGGGAGCGCGUCGAGGCCAUGGCGAUGCUGCUCCCCUUCCUACCGUUGUUGCCGCGUUCCACCACUUGCGGCAGCAAGCAAAUGGCACAGCCAGAGAAGCCGCCUGCCGAGGAGGCAGCUCCAGCUGCAGCACUGGAUAAGUGACCCCUCAGGGCAUAAGACAAAGUUCUUUAGUUACACGGCUGCAACUUAAUUUGUUUCCUUUCUAUUUGUGCUGAUUUUGAAUACAGUGUAGUACAGAACACCCACAAAAUCAUCACAGGGAUUCAUGAACUCACUUUCGAAUGGAAGAAAUGUGUUGUUCAAUUGGCAUCAACCCGAUCGAUCACUUGCCUGAUAAAUCUCCUGUCGUCUGAAUCUGGUUCCUCUGCGGAUUAUUCUGAUGUUUACAGCGUCGGAUUUGGUGCAGUGGAAGGGGAGACCGAGGAGGAAAUGGCGACCAAGAGGAGCGUGGGCACCCCUGGGCCACAAGGACCUCAGGAGCAGAAUGUGUUCCUUCGUGCCGAUCUGAACAUUCUGCUGGACGACGACCGGAACAUCACCGAGGACAACCGCAUCCGCGCCUCCGUGCCAUCGGUGCCGUUCCUCAAGUUCCUCAUGGGGAAGGCCGCCAAGGUCAUCCUAGCCAACAAUCUGGUGAGCACACGCUUCUCGAUCUGUGCCUGUGGCGUUUUAUUGAUGAAUUUGUGCCGUUUGAGUGUUAGUCUUCUGUUCAUCCAUGAAUCUCUUGGGAGUAAAGGGAAUAUAUAAGAAGAAAAUUAUUUCAGCUAAUAGCUGUAUGUGUUGUAGCCUGUUAGCAUUGUGCUUAAAAUCAUACUAACAAAAAUUGUGAGAAUUAAUUUAGAAUUUCAUUUUCUUACAUUGUUUGUUACGUUUCUACUCAGAAACAUACAGAACAGAGUCCUCUGUCCAGUCCAUGUGAAUUGCUUUUGUCAUUACAGUAAUUUGUAAAAUAAUUUGUUCAAGUGGCUCCUGCCGCUUGCCACUCCUCACUUGCCGGCCCGUUCGCCACUAGCCGUCGGCCCCUGCCCGCCCGCCUCUCCUGUGGUGCACGGUGCCCGACCCGGCUCUGUAUGUCCGCCUCCCUCGUGCUGCUCGUUGGUCGCCCCCAUCAUUCAGCCUCUUGUGUGGCGCACGGCUGUAUGCCUGUACCUGCUUGAUGUCGGGAGCAACACCACAGGAUGGCCGUGCCGCGCCUUCAUCUCAGACCUCACCGACUUAGGAUUGUAGGGAAAAGUGUGGACUAUGGAUUCAUACCAGAACUGGAUUGGCCAUGGCACGUCUUCACCAACUUGUCAUGGCGUCGGCAACAAUAUUCAAGAUUUCUUGUUUCCUUCAUUUUCAAGCAUCUCUCAUACAGGCGAUAUAUGCAGGUUCAUCAUUCAUGCGAGGGAUAUGAAAGAUGAAACAAAAGUGAAAGGCGUUUACGCCUACAAAGGCAUUCUACUACUUGCAGUUUCUGUAGUUCAAUCAAACAUUACAAUUUUCAAAUUAUAUUUGUUAUGGUUAGAUAUAAAUUUUAAAAGUUUCGAGGUUCCAUGAGAUGAGAUGAUGGCUCAUUUGUGUCAUUUUGACAAAAGUCCCACUAUACGGUCAGAUCUUGUAGUUCAAUUAGAUAAUGCAAUUUUCAAAUGAUA